rnacentral:rRNA from 1 species
GAUGAACGCUAGCUACAGGCUUAACACAUGCAAGUCGCGGGGCAGCAUGGGGGUUGCUUGCAAUCCCCGAUGGCGACCGGCGCACGGGUGAGUAACGCGUAUCCAACCUGCCCUUCGCCACGGGAUAACCCGGCGAAAGUCGGACUAAUACCGUAUGUUGUCCAUUGACGGCAUCCGAUUUGGACGAAAGGCUUGGCGGUGAGGGAUGGGGAUGCGUCCGAUUAGCCAGACGGCGGGGUAACGGCCCACCGUGGCUACGAUCGGUAGGGGUUCUGAGAGGAAGGUCCCCCACACUGGAACUGAGACACGGUCCAGACUCCUACGGGAGGCAGCAGUGAGGAAUAUUGGUCAAUGGGCGUAAGCCUGAACCAGCCAAGUAGCGUGCAGGAUGACGGCCCUAUGGGUUGUAAACUGCUUUUAUGCGGGGAUAAAGUGGCCCACGUGUGGGCUUUUGCAGGUACCGCAUGAAUAAGGACCGGCUAAUUCCGUG